rnacentral:misc_RNA from 1 species
GGCUCAGGGUUCUAAUUUCCCACUAUUAAGUUUAUGAACAAAGUAAACACAACCAAAUACCUUUGGAGGAACGGUAUAUGAAUUUUUAUCCUGCAAAACAUCUGAAGGACUCUUAAACUCCAAUGUCUGAAGUAGCAUCCUAUUAAUAAGAUAUGUAGCAGAAAGAAUAGCAUCCUCCCCAAGUAAGAUUUAGGAAUAUUCAUGGUAAACAUAAGAGACCUAACAACCUCAAGUAAGUGUCUAUUUU